GGGCUUGCGUCUGAUUAGCUAGUUGGUAGGGUAAUGGCCUACCAAGGCAAUGAUCGGUAGCUGGUCUGAGAGGAUGGUCAGCCAGAUGGGGACUGGGAUACGGCCCCAACUCCUACGGGAGGCAGCAGCAAGGAAUCUUGGGCAAUGAGCGAAAGCUUGACCCAGCGACACCGCGUGAGGGAAGAAGGCCUUCGGGUUGUAAACCUCUUUUCUUGGGGAAGUGACGGUACCCAAGGAAUAAGCCUCGGCCAACCACGUGCCAGCAGCCGCGGUAAUACGUAGGAGGCGAACGUUAUUCGGAUUUACUGGGCGUAAAGUGAGCGUAGGCGGUUCCUUAAGUCAGAUGUAAAAUCUUCUGACUUAAUCAGAAGGCGUCAUUUGAUACUGAGGGACUUGAGAACAGGAGGGGAAAAUGGAAUCCCCAGUGUAGCGGUGAAAUGCGUAGAU
rnacentral:rRNA from 1 species